GUUCUACUCCCUCCGUUCCAAAUUACUCGUCGUUGCAGAAAUGGAUGUAUGUAGAACUAAAAUACAUCUAGAUACAUCCAUACCUGCGACAAGUAAUUCGGAACGGAGGGAAUAUAUU
rfam:Triticum urartu cultivar G1812 contig508119, whole genome shotgun sequence.